AUAGGCUCAGUUCGAAAAGAAAACAGCAGAGAUGGCUUUCCAACGGUCCUCUCGUUUCCACGCGUCCGCCACCUCCAACGGGCCAAUCCAUGGCCGGCGCGCCGGCGCUGCCCAAACCCAGCCCCAGCCACACCCGUCGGGCGAUUACCCCGAUCUCCGACGGCCAGAUAGAGCCCAUACUCCAUAUCCCUCCUACCGUGAGGCCCUGGUCGCGGGGUUCUCUGCGGACGUGCCUCUGCCCGGUCGGUCCUGCCCUGCUUCGGCGGAUCUUGAACCGGACGAGGCGGGUUGGAUUCAAGUUCGCAACCGUCGCCGUCAGCGCUGUUUGGAGGAAUCCCCGUCCGCCGCGUGCCAACCUGUGCGCUCCGGGUCAAGGAUUCCGCGGUGGUUAUUGGGCAGGUGCUUCAAGUGCUUGGACUCGGGCCACCGCAUUGCUAAGUGCACAGGGGAGAUUAGGUGCCACCGCUGCUGGCUCCCAGGUCACAUAGCUAGAAGUUGCCACUCCCACCAAGCUGCUGCUCCCCCUGUUCCACUCCCUCCCAGUUCCGCAAAUAGUCGCGCCGCCUCUGGUCGUCCCGUCCAGAUCCACGCCCCUCAUCGUCGGCCGCCUCCGCGCGAUAUGGCACACUACCCACCCCUCGCCCAGUCCCGCUUCCCUGGGGAGCUCUACACCCAUGGGGACCCGGAUUUGCGGCCAGAAAGGGGUGGGGGCAUCAUCUCGCGCUCUCCGGGGAUGGACGCUCUGGAAGCUGAUUUCAGGAAUCGAGCUUUGCUGGCUUCGGUUCAGGGGCGGAGGCCAGCGGUCUCGCCGGAGGCUUUGGUCCAAGCCUUGGCCGGGUUCUGACGGGGUGGAGAGGAGAUUUGUGCGGGUGGAGGUGGCAUAUCCGGAUGAUUUCUUCAUCUCCUUCGCUUCCACAGAGGACUGUGACAAGGUGCUAUCCUACACCGGGAAGGUCAGAUGUGCCGGAGCCCCAGUUGCAUUCCGGCGCUGGCACCGGAGUGCACAAGCGAGCAGCGCAGGUGUGGUCCGGGUUCAGGAACUGGACACGGGUGACAUUUCCGAUCCCCGAUGACAACUUCGGUAGCUCCGAGAACUGGUGGAUCAACGCGCGGAGAGGAAUUCCUAAGGCAGCCCGACGGAACUUCGACACGAUGACCAUCCUGAUCUACUGGCGAAUUUGGAAGGAAAGAAACGCCAUGAUUUUUCAACAGGUGGCUAGCAGCGUGGACAGGGUGCUGGAGCUCAUCCAAGAAGAUAUCACUGUCUGGCGAUCGGCUGGUUGUGUAGGCGACAUCGGCUAAUACACUGCAUGUUCCUUUUCUAUUGUAGCCUGCCUAUGGCUUCAGCCGGGACCUUUUCUCUUCUUGUUUUGAGCUUAGGCUCGGUUGGCUGUCAGUUCUAGAUUGCCUAGAAGGUCAGCCUGGAUGUACUCUUUUCAUUCUAUCUAAUAAAAGAUCGGCCAACAGCCCUUCGAUAGGCUCA